rfam:Lactobacillus farciminis strain CNCM-I-3699-S genome.
AGAUUUCUUCGGGGCAGGGUGUAAUUCCCGACCGACGGUGACAAUUCAACGAAAUUGAAGUCCGUGACCCACGCAAGUGGUGGACCUGGUGAGAAUCCGGGACCGACAGUAUAGUCUGGAUGGUAGAAGAACAAU